ACAGAUUCUUAGCUGGCUGUUCAGAGUCUGAAGGAGUCAGUCCCAGUCAGGACACAGCAUGGCCAUGAAGGCUCCUGCACAGAUCCUGGCAAUUUGGCUACUCUGGCUCUCAGGUGCCAGAUGUGACAUUCAAGUAACACAAUCUCCAUCCUCCCUGUCAGCAUCUAUUGGAGACAGAGUGACAAUCACUUGUCUGGCAAGUCAGGGCAUUAGCAAUAACCUAAACUGGUACCAGCAGAAAUCAGGACAAGCUCCUACACUUUUGAUCUAUUAUGCAACUAGUUUGCAAUCUGGUGUCCCAUCAAGGUUCAGUGGCCAAUACUCUGGGAAAAGUUUCACUCUAACCAUCAGUAGCGUGGAGCCUGAAGAUGUUGCAACCUAUUAUUGUCUACAGCAUUACAAUGCUCCUCCCACAGUGAUACAAGCCAUGACAUAA